GAAGCUUUUGUCAUAUAUUUGCUGAAGAAAACAAAUAGCUCUUAACACACCUAUUUUCUUAUAUCUAUAACUUACGCUGUGCUAUAUAACUGUUUCAUGGUUGAUGUUAGCAGGCAAAAAUUAAUCCCGAGGGCACUAUUAAAGAGCAUAGUACAGCUAUGAAAAACUGCAGUUGUUGAGUGUAUUGUGCGUGGAGCAUAGCUUGUCUUGAAAAUUCUUAAAGCAGUUUUCCAUAUUGUUGCUCCAGAUGCUUCUUCUCGAGUAUCACUCUGUCCUAAUGGUGAACCACUUCUAAGUACUGUAUAGUUAGAAAACCCUGGCAGGGUCACAAUAAGUUGGAAUCUACUUGAUGGCAGUAUUGUUGUCGUUAUUAAUUUGAUACAAGGGUGAUUGGACAGUUAAAGUUCUUUACCGUUUCUUCUGUUCAACAAAGCAUAAUUAGAUUUUUCCCCUCCAAUAGAACUUACAUAGGAUAUUCAUUAGCUCAUUAUUGUGCCUUUAUAGAGCAGCUAAAAAUUACUAAACUUGAAGGGAAUUAUAGUAAAUAGAUAACACUUCAUUUGUUCAUUUUGUCUCUUCAGGUAAUCCAUACAAAAGACUCUAAAAGAAAGCAAUUCCUUAAAAAAAAUUUUGUUCUCUUAAAUGUGAGAUAUUCUGCAAAUUUCUGAGAUUGUGGAUGCAUACUUGACUGCUCUGAAGGAUAUGUCGUUCGUGAAUUAAGUCAGAGUGACAAUCACAGAUACUCCAGAAUGAAUUGUCCAGACAUUGUCUUUUAUAAGAAGAAAAAUCAACUUACUUUCUUAAGGAUAAAGGUGCAUUUCCAUGGGCCAGCUUUCAAGUAAAACAUGCGAAAACAAUCAUAAUUUUUUAAAAAUUCAGUACUCAGUCUGCUAAAAAUAAGAAUUGAACUUGUUCCACUUUGUUCAUUUUCUGAAGAUGGUUGACUGCAAUGCGCCUGGAAUAAAUUAAAUACAAGUUUCUGAAAUGUGACCAUCACUUUCUCUUGAUGGGUAGUAUGGAUGGGCCUGAAAUACUAAUGUUGUAAGUUCUAAUAAACUGAACACCAAGCACA